GUCCUCGCCGGGGACAUCCGAUAAAAUUGGAACGAUACAGAGAAGAUUAGCAUGGACCCUGUGCAAGGAUGACAUGCAUAAAUCAAGAAAUGGUCUAAUUUUUU